GACGGUUUGGCGAGUGGUCAAAGCGCCAGAUUUAGCUCUGGUCUAAAAGGCGUGGGUUUAAAUCCCACAGCCGUCA
rnacentral:tRNA from 1 species